GACGAACGCUGGCGGCGUGCUUAACACAUGCAAGUCGAGCGGUAAGGCCCUUUCGGGGGUACACGAGCGGCGAACGGGUGAGUAACACGUGGGUGACCUGCCUUUAGCUCUGGGAUAAGCCUGGGAAACUGGGUCUAAUACCGGAUAUGACCCUAUGGCGCAUGUUGUGGGGUGGAAAGCCUUGUGCGGCUAGGGAUGGGCCCGCGGCCUAUCAGCUUGUUGGUGGGGUGAUGGCCACCAAGGCGACGACGGGUAGCCGGCCUGAGAGGGCGACCGGCCACACUGGGACUGAGACACGGCCCAGACUCCUACGGGAGGCAGCAGUGGGGAAUCUUGCGCAAUGGGACGAAAGCCUGACGCAGCGACGCCGCGUGA
rnacentral:rRNA from 1 species